GAUGAACGCUGGCGGCGUGCCUAAUACAUGCAAGUCGAACGAACGCACGAGAAGCUUGCUCUUCUGAUGUUAGCGGCGGACGGGUGAGUAACACGUGGAUAACCUACCUAUUAGACUGGGAUAACUUCGGGAAACCAUAGCUAAUACCGCAUAAUAUUUUGUACCGCAUGGUUCAAAAGUGAAAGACGCUCUUGCUGUCCUCCAUAGUUGGCUCCGCUCGGCAUUAGUUAGUUGGUAAGUUAACGGCUUACCAAGGCAACAAUCCAUAGCGGCCUUGAGAGGGGGAUCGGCCAAACUGGAACGGAGACAGGGUCCAGACUCCUACGGGAGGCAGAAGUGGGGAAUUUUGGGCAAUGGGCGAAAGCCUGACGAAGCAAGGCGGCGUGGGUGAUGAAGGUCUUCGGGUCGAAAAACUCUGUUAUUAGGAAAGAAGAUAUGUGUAAGUAAAAGUGCACAGCUUGACGGUACCUAAUCAGAAAGCGACGGCUAACUACGUG
rnacentral:rRNA from 1 species